UUAAACUGAAGAGUUUGAUCAUGGCUCAGAUUGAACGCUGGCGGCAGGCCUAACACAUGCAAGUCGAGCGGUAACAGAUCCAGCUUGCUGGAUGCUGACGAGCGGCGGACGGGUGAGU
rnacentral:rRNA from 2 species